CACGUAGGGGGCGAGCGUUGUCCGGAUUUAUUGGGCGUAAAGAGCUCGUAGGCGGCUCGGUAAGUCAGGUGUGAAAACUCUAGGCUCAACCUAGAGACGCCACCUGAUACUGCUGUGGCUAGAGUCCGGUAGGGGAGCAUGGAAUUCCUGGUGUAGCGGUGAAAUGCGCAGAUAUCAGGAAGAACACCCGUGGCGAAGGCGGCUCUCUGGGACGGUACUGACGCUGAGACGCGAAAGCGUGGGGAGCGAACAGG
rnacentral:rRNA from 1 species